GACGAACGCUGGCGGCGUGCUUAACACAUGCAAGUCGAACGAAGAGCGAUGGAAGCUUGCUUCUAUCAAUCUUAGUGGCGAACGGGUGAGUAACGCGUAAUCAACCUGCCCUUCAGAGGGGGACAACAGUUGGAAACGACUGCUAAUACCGCAUACGAUCUAACCUCGGCAUCGAGGAUAGAUGAAAGGUGGCCUCUACAUGUAAGCUAUCACUGAAGGAGGGGAUUGCGUCUGAUUAGCUAGUUGGAGGGGUAACGGCCCACCAAGGCGAUGAUCAGUAGCCGGUCGGAGAGGAGGAACGGCCACAUUGGGACUGAGACACGGCCCAGACUCCUACGGGAGGCAGCAGUGGGGAAUCUUCCGCAAUGGACGAAAGUCUGACGGAGCAACGCCGCGUGAGUGAUGACGGCCUUCGGGUUGUAAAGCUCUGUUAAUCGGGACGAAAGGCCUUCUUGCGAAUAGUUAGAAGGAUUGACGGUACCGGAAUAGAAAGCCACGGCUAACUACGUG
rnacentral:rRNA from 1 species